rnacentral:rRNA from 1 species
AUGUUAGAGGAUCGGGCUCCCUCACCUUGUCCCCUUUCCCCACCCCACACGGCGCCGCGGCUGACCUCCACCUUGCUGGCUGGCCGCCGUCUCUCUGCCCGCCCAGCUCCAGCCCUCGCCCCCGCCCCCGCCACCGCCCCCGCCUUGCCUCUCGGCGUUCUCCCUGGCCACCGCGCCGUCCACGCCGACUCGCCCCACGACGACCACCGCGCCGUCGCUCCCCCCCUCAUCUGUGUGUGUGUGUUCUUGUGCAGCCGGGCUGUUCCUGGGAGCCGUCACCGGCGGGCUGAUCGGCCUCGCCACGGAGAGCGGCCUCUUCCGUGGCACUGGAAUCGGCGCCAUCACCGGCGCGCUGGUGUCCAUCGAGGUCGUCGACUCCUCCAUCCGCCUCUGGCGCUCCCGCCGGUCCGGGAUCUGGAGCAUCUUCUUAAUGUGAUCUACAGCCUCCUCACCGGCAGGCUCGUCCGCGAGAAGGUCGAUCCAGCCGUGCACCGGGUGGUCUGGAGCCAGAUGAACGCAGUGGACUCAUCGCAGUUCAGGGAGGCCCCUGAUCUUUUCGACAUCGAGGGAACCAACGGCAUGCCGAGUGCGUGCAUCGACAAGCUGCCCGAGAUCAGGAUCACCGAGGAGUACAACCAGAAUGCCGUCGGUCACGUCUCUAGAUGCUCUGUUUGCCUGCAGCUUAAUGUGAUCUACAGCCUCCUCACCGGCAGGCUCGUCCACGAGAAGGUCGAUCCAGCCGUGCAGCGGGUGGUCUGGAGCCAGGUUAGUUGA